CACGUAGAAGACUAGUGUUAUUCAUCUUUAUUAGGUUUAAAAGGGUACCUAGACGGAAAAAUCAAGCCAUAAUAGGGACUAAUUUUUCUAGAGUUUUUAUGAGAGAAGGGGGCGAAUUUCCGGAGGAAAGUUGAUAUUUUUGUGAUACUGGAAGGACGGGUAACGGCGAAGGCAACCUUUUUAUGUAAAAAACUGACGUUUGAGGGACGAAGCCUUGGGUAACGAGAAGG
rnacentral:rRNA from 1 species